CGCGCAGGCGGCCUUUCAAGUCAGUGGUGAAAGCCCGGAGCUCAACUCCGGAACUGCCAUUGAAACUGUUUGGCUUGAGUACGAGAGAGGUGAGUGGAAUUCCCAGUGUAGAGGUGAAAUUCGUAGAUAUUGGGAAGAACACCGGUGGCGAAGGCGGCUCACUGGCUCGUAACUGACGCUCAGGCGCGACAGCGUGGGGAUCAAACA
rnacentral:rRNA from 1 species